UCCGUCAGGUGGAUAUGCUUGAGGAGGGUUUGUGUGGCAGUUCUGCAACACUUACAAAGAUCACCAAAAAACUCAAAACAGUAUGUGUUAAAUCAAUACAAAAAUUGCGAAGAGAAAGAAAGAUGAGAAUUGGUGGACCAAGGGCCUUUAUAGUCCUGGAUGAAAGCAAAUUUUGCCACAAGCGAAAGUAUGCACGUGGACGCUUUGGAAACACCUGGCGGAGAAAGGCAUGGGUGUUUGGCAUGAUUGAAGUCAAAAGAAGGCGAAGGAGACCUGUGCUCAAAGUAGUGAAACGAAGAACAGCUGGAAAAUUGAUUCCCAUUGUUGAGAAGUAUGUGCGUCAAGGAAGCACUUUACUCAGUGAUGACUGGCCAGCUUAUAGAAGACUUAGUCAGCAUGGCUUUAUUCACUAUCAGGUCAACCACAGUCGUUUCUUUGUGCACCCACAAACAGGAGCUCAUACGCAGCAUAUAGAACGUGCAUGGAGAACCUACAAAAGUGAAGUAUACCGUUAUAGGGGUAACAUGA